CACUGGCACUUUCUGCAUGAUUUAUUUCAUCUCGGCAUGAACUGACAGACAUACAAGGCUCUGCACUAUUUAUGCCCAGGAUUUUAAAACUCAAGCAUUAAUAAAUACAUUACGCAGAUCACAACAGCUGGCCUGAACUUGGCCUUCAACAGGUGUAGUGUACCUUUAAUAAAUGGUAACAUUUGAGAAUCGCUUAGAGCUUGAAUAGGCUUUGGAGGAGCUUUGAUCUCACAUGAGAACCCGUCUCCUGUUUUAUGUGCGUUCCAUCCAAAUCCAUUCACUUGGCGUGUCUGAAGCACCUGCCAGCAUAGUGUCUGUGCCGGGUGCCUGAAGGCUGCACAGCCCAGACUUCCUCCCGGAUGUGGAAAACGUGGAAAUGAUGUGGCCACUGAAAGAAAUUCAAGGCAACUGAAACAACUGCAGAUUUCCAUUUUCAGCUCGUGUUAUCUUCUUAUGAAUAAUAACAUUGCAGAAGGGGAAAAAUCAGAAAGUUGAUUGAUUUUUAACCCAAAAAUAAAACGUUUUGUAAGCUAGGAAAGCAUCUAAAAUUAACAAGAACACAAAAAUGCACUUUUGCUUACAUUUGCUCUACUAAGAUCUUACAAGAGAUUAUGUCUUGAAUCUAUCUCGACUUCAGGAAGACAAAAGAACGCUGCAAACAUCCUAUUUCCAAAUCGUUUACAGGAAGUGACCGACAGAUUCAAUGGUUGCUACCAGAAUUACUGAAGUGACACCAGAAAUUAGCAGAAACAGAGCAGAUGAUUAAUUUCUUAUUUGUAGCCAAACUGAUACAGUCACGAGUUUUAGUUAAGGAGCCAAAGGAUUUCCACAACAUUCAUUUUCUUGGAGAAGUCGGUGCCUCCACAGACUCAGAAACCAAAUCCUGAAGUUCCAAAUCCAGCUCUACAAAGCUGCAGGAAGCAGUGCAGAGUGGAGGGCUGUUCCCAAGAUGAAGAAUAAAACCGGAAGGAAAAGGAGGAAGGCUCAAGCUCAUUCCUCUGCAUCCCAAAUGAACCUUGAUUGGCAAUAGAGAAGGGAUUGCUGUCAACUAAGCAAAAGGUCAGGCUUCCGUGCAUAACAUUUUCCCCAAAGGACACCACUGCCUUUCCAGACAUUUGGAAAGGCCCCUGCAUAUGGGUUAAUUUCAUGAGUCAGACAUUUGGAAACGCCCCAGCAUAUAGGUUAAUUUCAUGGGAAGUGUGGAUAGCUGUUAUCAAGGCACCAGCCUCAUCUAACUCUUUUAACGGGUGGAUGACCAGAAAUAUUUUUGCAUCAACCUUUUUCCUACACAGCGUUGGACGCACACUUAGACCAUCACUUUGAAUUCGAAAAGAUCCUACCUGGGGCAUCCGCCGGCGCCAGGCAGUCUCAGCAAUGCCUCUGCCCUCCCCGCAGCAGUCCCAGAAUCAAAGCCUUGGAGGGUGUGGCUUUUCUCUUUGUUUCAUGGGUGCAAACCCUAGCGGCUCCACACCCCAGGGACCGGCCCCCCAAAAGCAAAAACGUGGCUCAUGGCGUGGCAGGUCCUCUAGUAUGUGUUUCUAUGUGAUAUCACUAUUUAGAAACAUGGUGUACACUAUUCUAUAUAUUUCCACAAUAGGUUGGCUGGACAUCCUUUAAUGGUUAGUAUUAAUUGCUUUCUCUUAUUCUUUAGGUUUCUUCGUGCAUUUUGUUGUGAGGUGACAGGGAGUACCUGGGGCUUUGCUGCCGGGGCCCCACAGGAGGCUGUGCUACGUCUAGUGUGGGCAUUCCUUCACUAAAUGAAAUGCUGGAAAGCCACAGGAACUGCACGUGACUGCAGCUGCCACUUCUCAUAUCCUCUUGCGGGGACAGUGUUACUCUGGAAGCCCAAUUUCCACAUUGCAGUUUCAAACAAUAAACAUUACAGGAAUGAUUUCACAAGUAAAAUCACAGUGAUAAUAGCAUAUGAGUUUGAUAUUUAAGGACUGAAAAUAUUAGCCUGGUCCUGGUCCCAUUUCAUAUAAAAAUUUCUACCAUUAAUAAUAAAAUUCUAGAGGGAAAGGCAGGACAGUGUGAAUGGUACACUGUUGAAAAUGAACAUUAUUUGUUUCCUUUUGCUGUAAAUACUGUUUCUACAACCAUUUCUCCAGUAUACUCCUAUAAAAGGCAAAUCAAGUCAGGCGAUAUGAAGUCUGUUUUUCUUUCCCAAGAUGAUUAACCAAGUUGCCAAGCUAUCCCCUCAGUUCAUGAGUAACCAUGGGCAAGCAAACACAUCCCCAGAACAUACUCUAACCCAGAUCAUAAAUUCCAGUCCCCGAGUCAUGCAUAAGGUUCAAGCUGAUCACUUCUAAACACACUUAACUGAGACCUCUCAUAACCACAGACUCUUUAAAAAGCAUAACCUAUUUUUCAAUUACCCACUGAUUUCUACAGAGAUGGCAGUUCCCAUCACUGGAUUAACAAACAAAUAAUAUUAAAGUAGGCAUGAUUUUAACUAGUUACGUUCCAGUAACUUUCAUUUACUUUUACAGUAAGAGAAUGGGUUGGAUUCGGAGUUCAAAUGUUUGCCUCUAUUUGUGAGCAUGAAUCUCAUCCUCAAACUCAUAAUAGUAAGUCCUCUGUAUACACACUUGAAAAGUAAAAUGUUAACACAAAUGAGAAACUACCCAAACGAUUUGUUUUAAAUCCUCAUACCCUGUCAACGCAGUGAGCCUCAUGUUAAUUCUA
ensembl:lncRNA